GUAUUACCGCGGCUGCUGGCACGGAGUUAGCCGGUGCUUCCUUNGAGGGUACCGUCAGCACCAUUACUGGCAUUUCUUCCCCUCUGACAGAAGUUUACGACCCAAAGGCCUUCAUCCUUCACGCGGCGUUGCUGCGUCAGGGUUUCCCCCAUUGCGCAUAAUUCCCCACUGCUGCCUCCCGUAGGAGUCUGGACCGUGUCUCACUUCCAGNGUGGCUGAUCAUCCUCUCAGACCAGCUAUCCAUCGUGGCCUUGGUAGGCCGNUNCCCCACCAACUAGNUAAUGGACCGCGGACCCAUCCUAUGACAAUAAAUCUUUUCCUACAUCCUCCGAGGAGGUCGNAGGCUUAUCCGGUAUUAACAUCCCUUUCGAAAUGUUAUCCCANACCAUAGGGNAGGUUAUCCACGUGUUACUCACCCGNGCGCCACUCUACUGNAGANACNAAGAUNUUUUNUCGUUCNACCUUGCAUGUGGUAGGCCGAAGGGCGAAUUUGUUUAAACCUGNAGGACUAGU
rnacentral:rRNA from 1 species